UGGCGACCGGCGCACGGGUGAGUAACACGUAUCCAACCUGCCGAUGACUCGGGGAUAGCCUUUCGAAAGAAAGAUUAAUACCCGAUGGCAUAGUUCUUCCGCAUGGUAGAACUAUUAAAGAAUUUCGGUCAUCGAUGGGGAUGCGUUCCAUUAGCUUGUUGGCGGGGUAACGGCCCAUCAAGGCAUCGAUGGAUAGGGGUUCUGAGAGGAAGGUCCCCCACAUUGGAACUGAGACACGGUCCAAACUCCUACGGAAGGCAGCAG
rnacentral:rRNA from 1 species